CAGAGCACUUCUCACCUGGUUUCCUACUGAAGCUAAGCAGGGUUGAGCCUGGCCAGUACCUGGAUGGGAGACCUCCCGGGGAAAACCAAGGUCACUGCUCUAA
rnacentral:rRNA from 1 species